UCCACCUUUGCACUGAAGGGAUUGGUUAUGCAAAUAUGGAAGGGGUUUCCUGGCAAAUACAGCUUUCUACUGUAUGGUUAAUUAAAUCAUCACUCAAAAGCCUUCCAAUGUGACGCUUCUGUCGUAAUCCAAUCAGGUUACGUAGGUUCUAAACAAGAAAGAUAUUUUCCACAUCUGGAAGUCAGCAAUUUAGCAAGUACUGCACAUUAUUAACCAAUUCAGAGCCCACUUCCCAGGGGGAUAGUUUUUUCUUUUUUUUUGAAGUUUAAGUGUUCUUAACCAACGCUCUGCUGGUUUGUUAAUCAAAAAGCCGGUUUACACCGCACGUAAUCGAGAAGUAAUAUCGAAGUAAGUAAAGGCAGAGCGAGCCGGGGAUGCUGAGCGAAGGCGUUCGGCUGCAAAGGGGGCAGAUCCGGCUGAGGCUCCAGCCGCUCAUGCCCAGCUCCCAGCACAACCCACAGCCGUUCCUUCCUCCUGAAGGAGCUCGAAAUAGUCUCACUGCAAAGAGAAACUUCGCGUCUUGCCCACUCGCACGGUCCCUUCCCAAGGUUUUCCUACAUGGAAAUGCUGCAAGUUGAGAUGAGGGUGGCCUGAUCCUGAUGCAGACCUACCUGGUUAAAGCCACAGGAGAAGCAGUCCUGCCCCCAGCUCCUCGGAGGGGUUUGUAAGAGCGAGAGUGGUAAACUUGAGCAAUUCUUGUCACAUGGAGGGCCGAGCUCUGAGUCCGGUGGCCAAAACUGCCACUGCUUUGGCCAUCAGGGUGGUGGCAAUGCAGGCAAAUUGUUUGCAAAAGGACAAGGUUGCUCUGAUGGCUGUGGGGGCUGGUGCUGAGGCUCAGGGCAGCAAAGUCCAUCCUGGAUAUCUUUGCAGCUCAUCUGCACCAAUGACUCUGCUGGGCUGGCUCUCUGUGUAUAAACCUCUUUCCUUACCAAGCAGGUAAAGGGCAGGAGUGGUGGAGCCCAGGGAAAAGAGAACAAAUCCAACCACAGCACAGCCUUGGAUAUCUGCUAUUGGGGCAGCCACGCUGCCCCUUUCUGACUCCAGAUUAUUUAGCAGUUGACUUCGGUGUUCGGAGUGUUGCAUAUCAAUCCCCGGGACCAAAAUAUGCCACUCAUGUUUUUCCUGCUAUGUAAUCUAUGGAUGCAGCACCUAACCCUGCAGUCCUCCUCUGUGCUUCAGAGAGAAGGGAGAUGUGCUGAAUCAAGUUGUUGAGGCUGCACUUGGAGCUGAAGAAAACAUGAGAAAACCAAGACACCACCUUUGCUCUCGUCCAGCUUGGCCGCUGCCGUGAUACGGCAACACGACAACUGCUUUGGGAUAGCUUUGAAAAAUUCCAACAAAUUAUUUGAGCAAGAUUUCCUGCCCAUAAAUCCAGGAUGUUUACUGUCUCUCCCAGAUUUCUGUUCCCAUCUGCAGAUCUUUCUGUUACAAUGAUGAACCUGGCAAUUUCUGGUAAAUACAAGACUACUAAUUUUAUCUUGUCUUGGCCUUGAGUGAAAUCCUAUACUUCCUUGUUCCUGAAUAAAAAAUGCACGAUAAAUGAAUUGUACAGGGAGCACUGAAGGGCUGCUGAUGACCUAUAGUUAUGUACAGUGUGUAACUCAUCCUGUUACCCAAUUAGGAUGAUCAGAACUUUUCUUUCUGUUGCUGAAAACCUGAGUGCG